CAACCCCUGUCACUGAAUACAUUACGUAUAUGAAGUUGUUUAUCAACAACAGCCCAGAUGCGUGUUGCCUUUCAAAGUACCCGGAGUAUAUAUAUUGAAAAACUGCUGAAUCCUGCUUUCCUAUACGAGUGAAUAAGCUGAACAGCCAGUGUGUAUAACAUGGACCAACGGUGCCAGCUGUCUUCUCGGGGUAUGAGGAAACCACCCAUUUCAACAUCAGCCUUGCUAUGUGUCCUGUGUGUUGGCUUAGCGCUGAACCUUUGUCCUAUCAUCGACUUGUUUACCACCCCAAACAGCCCUGACUUGUGUUUCAUUAAUUGGUAUAAGCUGCUGUACACUGGAUACUGUUUCCUGAACCUCAUUGUUGCUCUGUUGAGAAGCUCUGCCCGGAGGUCUGUGCUGAGAUAUGGCGGUAGGAGGGUGUUCCUGUGUGGCGUGUUCAUCGUCGUGUCAAGUUAUAUCUUUGUUACGGUUGUUUUGGACAGAUCAGCUGUAUGGACGUGGAACACUUUUGAAUCCAAUUUCAUCAAGAGACUGGAGAGCAACGUCGUGGGUAUAUUCGAAACUAGGCCUGACUUUGUUGUUCGUGAGCUCCGCACUCUAGAACCCAAGAAACUCGAGCGACAAGCCAGGUAUGAAGGUGAAGAUGUAAGACUCGUGUGUGAGGACAUCUUGAUUUUCCAUGGAAGAGUUACAUUUCACGAGAAACAGGUCAUCUGGAAGCAUAAUAAACAAAGAAUUGAAUCGUCAUCCCGAUACCACAUCACCUCGUCGUUUGACGAAAUACCGGAAAAUGACACUAUCAGAACAUUGUUGAGUCGAUUUGAUAUGGACCUUUAUUUAUAUCGUGUUGAAUCAAAGCUCGAAAUUUUUCUAAUUAAUAACGAUGAUUUUGGAAAAUUUUCCUGUCAUGUUGCUAAAAACGCUAUUGCUAUAAAAUCGCAGGACAGUAAAUCAGGAAAUGACUCAAAACAGACCCGAACGGCAACAAAAGAAAAAGUCAAAAAUAAAGUCAGAGAAUGUCCCAAUACACGCGAGGGACAUAACCGAUGUCCCUGUCUUUCUCAGGAUUGGGCUCACAAGAACUUCAGUGUUUUACCAUAUGAGUGGACUGCAGAGUUCAUCUUGGCGAAGAUCAAACCUACGAGAAGAACGGUGUCUGUUCCAAUAGGUGGUAUUGUUUCUACGAGUGCGUCUUAUGUGAAUCUGGAUGACACGCCCGGACUCAUUGAAUUUGAUCAUGAAAUCAACGGAAGGUCCUUCAUUAAAACAUGCGAGGGCCUUGAUCAGUCAUGCUCCAUAUUUGUGUUCCUGUACUGGUUCCUGUGGCAUGAUGGUGGCCAUUACUCAAACAUUCCUGCCUUCUAUCAACAAUUGCUGAUGGUGGAGGGCGUUGGCGGCACAAGCUGGCAAUGUGUUUGUCCUAACACAUACGGAGUCCACAAAUUCGUCUUCUAUCGCCAGUUCUACAAUACGACCCUUGGAACAUACCAAGUUAGUGAUGUGGAAUAUCCCGACACUGUAGAACUUGUUCCCGAGAAGCCCCAUCUCUUGGACUUGUAUUACAAUGGCUCAAAGAAACUUCUUCCGUUGCCAAAGUCGUCUUGCUGGGAGGAUGUUGAUAAACAAGAGUUUCUUGAAAUGUGGCUGGAGGAUCUAUCAUGUCACUUCUUUUACAAAGAAAAGCAGAUAUUCCUCUUGGGACUAUUCUUUUGUAUAGGACUGGCUUGGAUUUUGACCAGAACGAUAUUGACAUGGGUGACCAAUCCAAUCAUCAACGUGAUACUUGGGAGGAAACGAGUCAACAUCCAACCAAUCCAAGGAAGUGGUACACUGGCAGGACUUGCGCCAGCAGACAACACUGUUUUUAAAUACGACCUCUACAUUUCGUAUGCAGAUGAACAGAUGGCAAUGGCGACUGAAAUCGCCCAAGCUCUCACCUCGCGGGGUUUGAGAGUGUGUUUUCGUGACAAUGAUGUUCUCGGAAAUGAAAUUGUUAACCAGGCUGUUUCAAGGCUGAUUGGGGAGAGCUGGAAAUUUCUCGUCAUUGUCUCACAAGAAUACGUCGACAGUGGACUUCAGAAUAAUUUUGAAAUACACCUUAUCAUACAGAGAUUCCACGACGGUUAUAUCAGCAACAGAAAUGUAUCCCUCUUACCAUUGCAACCAAACUUGAUUUCCGAUGUCUUUGACAAUUUCGUUAUUCUCAACCAGUAUGAAAACAGUGAGGAUCGUGUAGAGGAAAUAAUGUUAUGGCACGGACCGUCACUAUUUCAAAACGAACCAUAUACCGCUGUCCCUAUUAAUAUAAGAGGCCAUGAUUGCGGUUUUACAUCAACCUCGGUCUACUGCGUCAGCAGUGUUUGCUUUUACUUGUUGUUUCGUAUACUUAUUACAUGUGGGGUCUGUUUGGUAGAAUACUUUCUUCUGAUGGUGUCAUUCCACAGCAGCAAUGCAAUAGUUUUCUGAAAAGUAUUUGGGACUUGUCAUAUAUGAAUUACUGCUUAGGUUUAGAAGUGGGGGAAACAAAGUCUUCUGGAGAUAUGGAUGCAUUCGUCAGCACUCUGUAAAUAAUCGUGUCCGGUACAGACAAUCCAGUGGUUGAAGUCAUGAACAUCGAGCCAAGCAAUUAUAGGAUACGAUGACAUGCAUCAACCAAGUCAGCGAGCCUGACCACCCGAUUCCGUGAGUCUCCUCUUACGGCAAGGAAAGUCGCCUCUUAUGGCAAACAUGGGUUUGCUGAAGACCUAUUCUCUACCCGGAUCUUCACGAACACGUGAAGUGAUUACAAUGACACGUGUUUCCACAAUGUGGCUCAUAUGGCACAAUAUAUUAAUAUGUAUUAUUUGCCUUUAUAAGACAGUAUGUAUCCUUGUAGAAGACGAAUUCCAUGUUCUUAUGAUUUGUGACCAAUAUUCUAGAGCAAGAAGAAACUCUUUUCCCAAGCGUCUCGUUACCCCUCCCUCUAUUGAGAAUUUAUAAGACUUAUGUCAGCUGAAAACGAAGAAAUUAUAAAAGGCUUAGGUAAGUUUCUCUCCCCAAGUCAUGAACAUCGAAAGGAAACAGUGUGGAACGGUAAAUCAUUAUUAAAUCUACCCAGUAUGCAAAUAUAUAUAUACAGUAUAUUUCCAUUGUAUUAUGGGCCGGUGGCCUGAAGUACCGAAUAAAUUUGUCUGUCUGUCUGUCUGUCUGUCUGUCUGUCUGUAUGCUUGGUUAAUAAACGUAUCAAGAUAGA
rnacentral:misc_RNA from 1 species